AGGGGGCUAGCGUUGCUCGGAAUCACUGGGCGUAAAGCGCACGUAGGCGGCUUUCUAAGUCAGGGGUGAAAUCCUGGAGCUCAACUCCAGAACUGCCUUUGAUACUGGGAAGCUCGAGUCCGGAAGAGGUAAGUGGAACUCCGAGUGUAGAGGUGAAAUUCGUAGAUAUUCGGAAGAACACCAGUGGCGAAGGCGGCUUACUGGUCCGGUACUGACGCUGAGGUGCGAAAGCGUGGGGAGCAAACAGG
rnacentral:rRNA from 1 species